AAGGAGGAAGGCACAGGACUGGGAGGCGUAAGGCCUCAAAGGAAAAACAUGACAGCUGCUUUGUUGGCUCUGGGUCCUAGGCCUGAUUUCUUCCUUCCUCUGGGAAGGAAGCUGUGAGCUUUCCAGAGUGUCAAAUCACUCUUGGAAGCUAAUCCUGUUGCCUUCUAGAGAGAAUGUGUUUUAGAUUUAUUUUCAAACUGCAUCGCGAGGUACCAGCAGGGUCAUUCAUUUCAGCUACCUGGGCCUGGUGGGUGCCUCCAGUGUGCACACCCAGAGCAGCGCUGCCUUCCUGUAGCCCUGUGGGAGAUGAGGUCUUUCUCAGGCUGCUGUUCAUCUACUGUGCCCUGGGGAGCCAGAUGUCACGUCUUGCAGCUAGGUGUGCCGUUAGAAGGAGUCAGUCUUGGAGAGACUCUAACUUUAUUCUUGGGACCUUAAUGCCCAUGUGAGGCUCCUUUUAAGGAAAGCUGGCUGCUUGAGGCCACCACCGUGGAGCAGGAGUGGGCCACGAACCCAAGGACAGCCAGCUGUGGAUUGACCAGCAGCCAGUGAGACAGCCCCCAGAAGGACACCCGUAACUUAACUGAACCCAUCAGACCCCCCUCUCUUUUGGGAUGGUUGAGUGUGAGUCUCAAGAGGGCACCUCAUGCAGACAGGAAGAAGCAGAAGCCUACAGAGGUGCAGGGAGUGGGCAGUGGGCAGCAGCCCUAAGGAAGGUAGGGCAAGGCUGUAGGAAUGGUAAUGGCAGAGGCAGAGAGCAGUUUUGUGGCCUGAUGGGAGAGCCCCAGAGUCAGGGCAACGGAUGCCUGGGGCCAUUAGGCAGCGCUCCAGGCAUCAGAGCUGCAUGACCCACUAAACCAAGUCCCAUUUACUUCCAGCACUUUGUAUGGGGAGCGAGUCGGUGCUCUCUUGUAUGUGGCUGCCUGGGCUGUUGCUGUUUGUUUAUUCAGGAAGGUUAACUAUGGAGAGGUAGGAACUCAGAUCGCUUCCUAGUGUACUGAUCUGAGGUCAUUUUUAAAUGUAAGCAACUGAUCUAUGGAGCCUGGAAUAUAGAUUAAAAUUCAUUUCACGAGGAGACAUACUUUUGAGCUGAGGUCCUAUUUUCCGAUUUCUUUUCCUUUCACUUUGAGUCUGGCAGGAGGUUUUUAUAUUGCCUCCCAGGUGUGGGGACCAGCCCCUAUGCAGUGCUUGUAAAGAAUGGAAUGGCUUUGGAGAAAAAGUUAAACGGGAAUUCCUUUCCAGGACGCUGUCGGCUUUAAGAUUCCUACUCAGAGUAUCAACCAGAUGACUUUUAGGGGCUUGAGUCAAGGUCAUGGGAUUCCUCUCCUUCCUUGCUCCUCCAUCCUUCACCUCCACGAACUCCCUCCCCACUUUCACUGCCUUCUCAGACUAUCUGGGCUCCUCCACUCCAUCCUUUCACCACGUUCUUCUGACACAAUGUAAUACUUGCCAGCACCAGACAUUAUUACACCAUGUUAUUAGAUAAGGAACCCAAAGUGCUGGCAUGAAGGACGAACAGGGGUCAGUGAGGACAUUCAUAGCCAGUUGUCAUUGAAGAACGGAUGGAGAACAUAGUUGUGGGCUCAGGAAGGUCAGAAAACAAAAGCUUUCUAAAAAAAAAAAAAAAAAAAAAACCCGCAAAGAAAUCCAGAAACCAUAAAGAAAAAAAUGAACAUAUCUGACUACAUAAAAUAUUUUAAAUUUUGCAAGGGCAAAAGAUACCACAAAUAAAGUCAGAGGGCAAAUGACA
rnacentral:lncRNA from 12 species